rnacentral:piRNA from 1 species
UAACAGCCUUCCCUUAAAACU